UGCACCGAAGCUGCGGCAGCGACACUAUGUGUUGUUGGGUAGGGGAGCGUUCUGUAAGCCUGUGAAGGUGUGUCGUGAGGCAUGCUGGAGGUAUCAGAAGUGCGAAUGCUGACAUAAGUAACGAUAAAGCGGGUGAAAAGCCCGCUCGCCGGAAGACCAAGGGUUCCUGUCCAACGUUAAUCGGGGCAGGGUGAGUCGACCCCUAAGGCGAGGCCGAAAGGCGUAGUCGAUGGGAAACGGGUUAAUAUUCCCGUACUUGGUGUUACUGCGAAGGGGGGACGGAGAAGGCUAUGUUGGCCGGGCGACGGUUGUCCCGGUUUAAGCGUGUAGGUGUGUGUUCCAGGUAAAUCCGGUUCACUUUAACACUGAGGCGUGAUGACGAGGCACUACGGUGCUGAAGCAACAAAUGCCCUGCUUCCAGGAAAAGCCUCUAAGCAUCAGGUAACAUCAAAUCGUACCCCAAACCGACACAGGUGGUCAGGUAGAGAAUACCAAGGCGCUUGAGAGAACUCGGGUGAAGGAACUAGGCAAAAUGGUGCCGUAACUUCGGGAGAAGGCACGCUGACACGUAGGUGAAGUGAUUUACUCAUGGAGCUGAAGUCAGUCGAAGAUACCAGCUGGCUGCAACUGUUUAUUAAAAACACAGCACUGUGCAAACACGAAAGUGGACGUAUACGGUGUGACGCCUGCCCGGUGCCGGAAGGUUAAUUGAUGGGGUCAGCGCAAGCGAAGCUCCUGAUCGAAGCCCCGGUAAACGGCGGCCGUAACUAUAACGGUCCUAAGGUAGCGAAAUUCCUUGUCGGGUAAGUUCCGACCUGCACGAAUGGCGUAAUGAUGGCCAGGCUGUCUCCACCCGAGACUCAGUGAAAUUGAACUCGCUGUGAAGAUGCAGUGUACCCGCGGCAAGACGGAAAGACCCCGUGAACCUUUACUAUAGCUUGACACUGAACAUUGAGCCUUGAUGUGUAG
rnacentral:rRNA from 1 species